rnacentral:rRNA from 1 species
CCUACGGGUGGCAGCAGUGAGGAAUAUUGGUCAAUGGACGAGAGUCUGAACCAGCCAAGUAGCGUGAAGGAUGACUGCCCUAUGGGUUGUAAACUUCUUUUAUAUGGGAAUAAAAUGUUCCACGUGUGGGGUUUUGUAUGUACCAUAUGAAUAAGGAUCGGCUAACUCCGUGCCAGCAGCCGCGGUAAUACGGAGGAUCCGAGCGUUAUCCGGAUUUAUUGGGUUUAAAGGGAGCGUAGGUGGAUUGUUAAGUCAGUUGUGAAAGUUUGCGGCUCAACCGGAAAAUUGCAGUUGAAACUGGCAGACUAGAGUACAGUAGAGGUGGGCGGAAUUCGUGGUGUAGCGGUGAAAUGCGUAGAUAUCACGAAGAACUCUGAUUGCGAAGGCAGCUCACUGGACUGCAACUGACACUGAGGCUCGAAGGUGUGGGUAUCAAACGGGAUUAGAUACCCUUGUAGUC